rnacentral:rRNA from 1 species
CAGAGGUCAAAGGAGCAAUCCGGUAUAAGAGGGGUUCGCGUCCCAUUAGCUAGUUGGUAGGGUAACGGCCUACCAAGGCAACGAUGGGUAUCCGAGCUGAGAGGCUGAUCGGACACACUGGGACUGAGAUACGGCCCAGACUCCUACGGGAGGCAGCAGGGAGGAAUAUUGGUCAAUGGGGGAAACCCUGAACCAGCAACGCCGCGUGAAGGAAGAAGGCCCUCGGGUUGUAAACUUCUGUUUUCAGGGAAGAAAGAAAUGACGGUACCUGAAGAGAAAGCUCCGGCAAACUACGUGCCAGCAGCCGCGGUAAUACGUAGGGAGCGAGCGUUGUCCGGAAUCACUGGGCGUAAAGGGCGCGUAGGCGGUUUUACAAGUUGCAUGUGAAAUACCAUGGCUCAACCAUGGGGUGUCAUGCAAAACUGUAGGGCUUGAGUGCAGUAGAGGAAAGCGGAAUUCCUGGUGUAGCGGUAAAAUGCGUAGAGAUCAGGAGGAACACCGGUGGCGAAGGCGGCUUUCUGGGCUGUAACUGACGCUGAGGCGCGAAAGC